rnacentral:rRNA from 1 species
AGAGUUUGAUCAUGGCUCAGGAUGAACGCUGGCGGCGUGCCUAACACAUGCAAGUCGAACGAAGUCUUCGGACUUAGUGGCGGACGGGUGAGUAACGCGUGAGAACCUGCCUCGAGGAGGGGGAUAACAGCGGGAAACGGCUGCUAAUACCCCAUAUGCCGAAAGGUGAAAAGAAAUUUGCCUUGAGAGGGGCUCGCGUCCGAUUAGCUAGUUGGUGAGGUAAGAGCUUACCAAGGCGACGAUCGGUAGCUGGUCUGAGAGGAUGAGCAGCCACACUGGGACUGAGACACGGCCCAGACUCCUACGGGAGGCAGCAGUGGGGAAUUUUCCGCAAUGGGCGAAAGCCUGACGGAGCAACGCCGCGUGGGGGAAGAAGGCCUUUGGGUUGUAAACUCCUUUUCUCAGGGAAGAAGCACUGACGGUACCUGAGGAAUCAGCCUCGGCUAACUCCGUGCCAGCAGCCGCGGUAAUACGGAGGAGGCAAGCGUUAUCCGGAAUUAUUGGGCGUAAAGCGUUCGUAGGCGGCAUUUCAAGUCUGCUGUCAAAGGCCGAGGCUCAACUUCGGAAAGGCAGUGGAAACUGAAAAGCUAGAGGUCGGUAGGGGCAGAGGGAAUUCCCAGUGUAGCGGUGAAAUG